CUUGGAACAAACUCUAGUCGUCUGAGAGGAGGGAGCCCCGACUGAGAAAAUGCCUCCGUAAGAUCAGGAUAUAGGGUUCUGUCCCUCUCAGAGGAAUCAUUGGAUUCAGCCUGAACGGAGAGGACACUCCAACGGUGUCACACAUGGAUGGGACAGCCCAGCCCUGGUUGGCCUGUGACAGUUUCCUUGGGGGCUGGAGGACUCACAUCUGGGAAGGGCAGAGUCCCCAAGGGCAGAGCUGAGAAAUGGACCUGUUUCCUGCCACCCAAUUUCCACUCGGCAGUGUGAUUUCUCUUUGUGUUUUCCAUAGUCUACCAUUUACACUGCUGCCACACCAUCCACAUUUUGGUAAACGUUUCUCGUG
rnacentral:lncRNA from 1 species